GUGGUGUCAGUGCUGGUGGUGGUCAGAGUUCCUUGGGUUACCUCUUUGGCAGUGGAGAGCCUGCCAGCAAUGUCCCAAGUGCUAACCAGCCUGCACGCACUCAAAAUGCCAGUGCUCCUCCAGCACCAGUUGAGAAGCCAAGUCCAGCACCAGUUGCCCCAAGUCCAGCACCAGUUGAGAGGCAAAGUCCAGUUGAGAAGCAAAGUCCAGCACAAGUUGAAAAGCAAAUUCCAGCUGGAAUUCCUGGAAGUCUCAAAAACAAUUACCAUCGUGCUGAUGGCCAAAACUGUGGCAACUUUCUCACUGUACUUCCCUUGCCGUAUCUAUUAUGAUUGUUUUAAUUUUAACUUUACUCUAUAAUUAGCUCUUGUCCUUUCUUUAAUUUUGAUUUAAGUAUUCUUCUUUCUUUCCACUUACAUGAGCCUAGGAAGUACUAGAAAGUUUCAUAGUAAAGUAGAUGUAUUUUGGAGUCUCCUCCUCUUGCAUUUCCUAAUAAUGUCCAGUUAAAAAUAGUUUAGUUGCAAACUCUAAAAGUAAAACAGGAUUUUGAAUUGCAGUAGUGUGACAUUGUAGGAGAUCCUUUUUGCAUAAAGUUCCAGCAAGAAGUAUUCAAAACUUUAAGAAUAGUUCAGAUCUCUCCGCCUAAGCUACCUUUAGCAUGGUUCUCUUGCCUUUUUGGUUGGAAGGAGUGACAUGAAUUAUACCUCCCCUGCUUGCUUAUCUAUAAGACAUACUAUACAUGCAUGUUAUAUAUGCUUUAGUAAUUUUCUAGUUUAUCUUGUAUGGAUUUACAAAUACUGUACUUUGUGCAACUGCUGUAAUAUUUAGAAAUGCUUUUUGUUGCUUGAGUGUUUAAGUGAGAGGACAAACCUUAGUGCAAAUGGUAAGGUUGCUGUACUGCACCAGGUUCUCCUUGUUGAAUGUUAAGAUAGUACAAUGUAAUUUAAGUUUUCAGCAUAGUGAUGAGAAUUUGUUCAGGGAGAAAAGUACCAACAUCUAGCAUGACCAACCUUGUAUGUAUUGAAUUGGUAUGAUGCUUUAGGAAUGACUAUUGAACUUCUUGUUAUGGCACUGAGGAAUUGUUCUUACUCAUGGUUUACUUUUGGGGUGCAGGAUCGGCCAUCUACCAAGGUUCAUGCUGCCCCAGGUGGUGGAUCUUCCUUGGGAUACCUCUUUGGUGGUCCUCCAGGGAACUAAUUAAUUCAUUGCUGUGAUUCAAAUCUACCAUGUGAUGAUGUAUCAUGUGUAAAAUAGAUAGUGUUGUCAUUGCCUUGUGUUUAGACCAGUGAAACUUUCUUCUUGUGCUAUUGAACCUCUCUUGACAAUGUUGGUGUGGCUUGAUGGCCCAAACUAAGCUGAUUCUAGGUCUGUUGUUCUGUGCUAUUGUGUGAAUUUCAAUUAAUGAAUUUACUGUGCCAAUGAGCUAAAGUUCCAUUAUGAAAUCAAGUUCCUUUUUUGUAGUGCCUUUUUUACCUCUAUUUAGGCAGUGGAAGUUAUGUUUUGAGAUUUUUAAUGAAAAUUACAGUACUUGUUUGAAAAAUUAACAGAUUAGAGUUAAUGUUUUUUUUUUAACUGAAGUGUUGGUGAAUGUAUUUUUAUUAUGAAUGGAAUCAUUUUUUUAUGACAGUUCCAUUCCUCUCUAUUUAGAAAAAUGAAGUUAAUUUUUUGAAAUAUUCGGAAGUAAUAGUAUUUUAAAAUUAUAGUGUUGUUGAAUUAAUUUCUUAUUUUUAUUUUUAUAUAUUUAUUAUGAAAUCAAGUUUCUUUUACAAUAUUAUCGUAAGAUUUUUUUUUUCAAAAUCUUCAAAAAGAAAGAUAAUUAAAGAUAAAAACACCUCUUCUUUCCAUUUAUUUUCUUUAUUUUCCAUUUUCUUUUUUUUAUCUCUUUUCUUUUUUGUCUGUUUUCUAAACUUCUUUAAGAAGCCCUCUCUUUUAAGUUAAAAAUGUAUGAAGUACGUAUAUGUUAUAUUUAAAUCUCUUUUUUAUAAACCUUAACUUUGAAGUAGUCUUCGAGCCAUAAGGAAAAUUCUCAAGGGUUAAUUAUUAUGAAGAUUUUUUCAGAGAAACAAAAAAAUCAUAAAUUAAAACUAAGUUAUGCAUAAAGUAAUUUAUAAAAAUUCUUUAAAACUUCUAUAAGUUUUUGUUUUUAAUUUGUAUAAAAAUUAAUUUUAACUUAAGAAAAAAAAAGCAUUCCAUAUACAAUAUAUAUUCUUUGAAGACUUUUACUUGUCAUUAUAUCAUAUGACCCCAUUUUUCUUUAAGAUCAUUUGAUUAUUGAUUCAACUAAUGAUACAUUAAUAUUGUGUAUGAGAUUGAAGAGUUUUCCAAUGCUUGGAACAAAGAAAUAGAGGCAAAUUCUUUUGAGCAACUAGGGGAAGGAAACAAACACAAACAAAAAAAUUCUUUGGUGUGUUUUUGUUCUGAGUAGUUUUAGAAACAUUGUGCACGUCUUAAUUUUGUUUAGUGUCUCGAUGGAAGAAAAAAUAAUGAAGAAAAUUGACAACACACUUAAGAAAUGAGAACAAACUAUUCAACCAACCUUACUAGAAUUGUUUAACUCAUUGCAAACCCUACAUUGCCAAAUGGGUUUUGGUUUUCUCGAAUGAUGCAACUCUUCAAAACUUGAAACAAAUUCUACAGUUGACCUAUCUUUACACUUUUUUGUUUACAUUUUUAUUUCAAUUAGCAAUUUUACUUUUGUAUUUUAGAUUUGAAACAACUAAUACCACAACCAUGUAUAUAAAAACUGAAGAUCAAGUAAUAAAAAAUAACCUGAAUUUUGUGGUGAAUAGAGGUUGAAUGAAAAUCAUGUGUUGCUCCAAAAAGAUUCUCUUCUCUACAAUUUUCGAAACCAAUACCCUUUCACCAAACAAUAUUGAAAGUUCAUAAAUUCUUGAAAAUUGACCAAGCAUAAAUCAAACUAUAUUUAACACACUUUUAACUAAACUUCUUUUAAAAUCAAGUUCAACUCAACUUCUUAACUAUAAUCCAAGCACAUACUAUAAGUUACGUUAGGGUUAAUCUUCAUUUAGAAUUAGAGUUUUAUCCGAUACAACAAAUUGAUAUUUAAUAACAAAAAUUAUUAUAUCAAAUUGUAGAAAUAAAAGUCUAAUUGAAAACAUGUCUUUAAGUUUUGUUCUGAUGAGAAACUGAAACACUCUAAAAUGAGUUGGUUCCAUACUAGGUUUCUUACACUGUCAGGCAAUUACUGUUGGAUGAAGGACAUGUUCUAGGAUGCUAUAUUUUAAUGUGCUUCUUUAAUACAUGAGAUGCUAAAACACUCUUAAUCGGAAUUAAUUAAAAGGUGUAGUAUUUAUUAAUCGUUCCUUUUAACAGUAACCCUUUUUGGCAGCAUAGCAUCCUCUUCUUGCAGAAUAUUGAACUGAGUUGAUGCCAUAAACAUUGCCAAGAAACUAUAACAUGCUGUGUUUCAAUCUGCACAAUAUCUUGUAAAGUUAGUCAUAUUCUGCAAAUUUUAUAUCUUUAAUAAUUGGCAAACAGUGAUCCAUGUGGGCAGACAUCAAAUACAAGUAUAGGAAUUGACAUUUGACACCCAUUUUAAGCACCUUGUAGAGUAGGCAAAGGCCAACACCAAACGAGGCACAGUGAUCCGAACAAUUAUAAUAUUAACUAAUUUCUUUAAGUGUAAUACAGCCUAGCAUGUUGUUGAGGUGGUGUUAUCAAAAAGUACCCAACUUCAAUCAACACUCUUUUAAACUAAUUGAUUUCUACGUGGUGGAAAGACAUGGCUUGCUUCAAACCAAACCAUAUUCCACAACACUCGUUAUCUACUUAUAGAAGAUAACUUUUUCCUUAAGUACUUUUAGAAGGAAAUAAGAAAGAAAAUAAGUUAAAACAAUGACAAUCUUGUACACUGUCUUGAGUUAAAAGCAGAACAAGGAAAAAGUGGAAGCAAGAAACAAAGCAAGUCCCAAUGUAACACUAACCUCAAACUUUAUUCAGUAGGAGAGAGAACGCAUUUAAAAAUAACAAGGUUAACAGAAAUCUCAAGAAAUGCUAAUUUUUAUCAUGGUUUAAAUUACUUUUUCCUCCCUCAUUCAUACUUCUGGUUAUGGGUAUAUAUCAAACAAUAAUGGUCACUCUGAAUUAACAAUUUAUGUAAGAAAAAAAAAACAUAAGCGCUUUUGGCAUCAUGAAAGUAUGCUUAGAAAGGUUAACAUUUUCAGUUUUUGGUAAAAAGAAAUUCUCAGGUGCUUUCCAAAAGUUCUUUGUGAAGAAAUUACUAUUGUUAUAGGAAAAAAAUGUUCUUUUAAUCAGGCAAUAAGAUGAACACUCUUCUAGUACAAACAUGAUUGUACUCUUCUUACCCAUCAAUCCUCAAAACCCUAUUAGCAUUAACUGCUUUCCCACAAAACCAUCAACAUUUCUGAGAACUUGAGCCAAAUCUUCUCAUGAGUUCUAUGUUUUCAGCAAUUGUUGACCCAGGUGUUCCAACAAAACCGAGAGAUGCACAGCUGCAUACAGUCUGCUCGACAUAAAGAAGUAAAUCUGGUAAUCUCUGACUGGAACAAUACUUUUUACCUAUUGUACUAUAUGAAUUUGAAAGGAACCUCUGUCCAUGACCGGCUGUCAUGAGUUUUAUAGCUGCUCGCUUAAUCAGCUUAUCAUUCUCAUUCAAAAAAUAUACCUUAUACUUAUGUUUCUCACUAACUAAAUCACCUAAGUAAGUAUCAGUCCAAUUAUCCCCAGGAAGAUCAGUCAUUAUAAAAAUAUGAACUGGUAGAGGGCCUUCCUUCCUCAAAGAUUCUAGUUUUUGCCUUAAUCCUUGAAAUGUAGCCUUUUGAUGAUUCUUAAACUGCCCGUCCAACAAUCUAAGUUGAGCACAAAGAAAUGGAGCCCUUAUGGUUUGUUUAACAAACUCCUUUCCAGCUAUCAAAAUUUCAGGGACAAAGGAAAGAAGUUUAAUCUUUUCCCCCAAAGAUAGAAAUCUCUGAUUCUGAUGAGACUCAUGGAUAUCCACAUAUAGUUCAGAACCUUUGUAUGUUGCAGAGAAAAGGGUUCCAAAUGCCAGCAGUGAGGCCGAUCCAGCUUCAGAACCAGGUCCUAGAGUCUUAAAUACAUCCUUCCGUCUCCUAACAUAUGAUAUUUUCUUUUUGUGCUUCAGUUGUUCAUCAGGUUGGAAUGAAUCUAACAUGCCGUCUCCAUGGCCAUCUUCAUGGUAAGUCCAUACUGUAGUUCUGCAAUCCUCAUUGACAGCAUAUAUACACUUUUCAAUACUACCAUGGAGUCCAGCUAGCAGAGAUCCACAUUGCUUAAGGCUUUUAGAAACAGAGGAAUGCAACUUUGUAUCUGUUAUGCAAGCCAAAUCUAAGCUGAUGCCACACCAUAUCGACACAAAAUCUCUAAAAUCAAUCACUCGAACAAGAGAGGAAGAAACUAAUGAUGAGAUGUCUAUAAUUUCAGCAAUGGAUAUAUACCUGCAAGAGAAAUGACUAAUUAAUUUAUACAGAAAAUAAAGUGAAAUGCAGUUUCAAAUAUAAAUUUUCAAUGAUACAGACACCAUGCAAGAAAGAUAUUCAUGCCCUUAAAUUUUACUUCCAAUGUUACAGCCAAUAUUAUUAUUAUGAUCUAAAACGGAAACUUCAACAAUCAUACAGGAACCAAAAAGCCAGCAACUAUUAGAAAUACUUUUGCAACGUAAAAUACUAAGAACAAAGUGGUCAGUAUCUGAUUGUCAUGGAAAUAGCUUAAAAUAUGACAAUGUACACUAAACUGAUCUGCUACAGCAGCCCUUUCACAGGGCAUGUUGUACUAUGCAUUGCUACAUUACUGUAACAGCAGUAUUUAAAACCCAGAAAAUCACAAAUCAUUAAUAGACAAUGUGUGGCAAAACUUACUAACCUUCGACUCUGGACAAGCUCAAUCACAUGAUCCCAAACAGAGAUCCGAAUAUCCUUUGGAUCUAAAACCCGAAACUUUGGACAGCUACCUAAAGCAACAGCAUGGUGAUCCAGAAUAGGUGGAACAACCAAAGUUCGAUUCAGUAUACCAGCCAUUAGAACGGCAUUCUUGAACUCUGAAAGUUGAUUGCUGAACCCGCUGUGUGGUGCAUACCACAUGAAUUUCUCCCCUAAGGUGAGGGCUUGGCUGGAGCAUUGAGGGGUAUGAGAUGUUGAAAUAUUGGCCAAUCUAGAGAACUGAGAAUUAGGUUUCACAUAGUAGUGAUACAAAAUCAAGAAGGAGAGGCAUAUGACAAUGACAGACACAGGAAUGAGCGGGAAUCUGUAAAGGGGUUUUCUUUUAGACAACAUUCUGGUUGGUGUGUCAGGAUUCAAAGUGUUCAUGGAUGUGCACUUGUAACACACAUUGAUAAAUUCCCCACAUUCAAGUAAUUUUGCAGAGAACAAUUGAGCACAAUAAUAAUCUGAAUCUUUCCCAUUCCUGAAACAAAUUCAGAAUAAAAGAAAAAAAAAAGAUUGUAAGCAGCAAUACCUACGACAAGAUCAAAUUUAAAAUUAAAAAAAAAACUAAUGUUAUCACUAAUAACUAAAGUACUCAGAAUUUAUAAUCUGAAACUUUCAUAUUCCUGAAAUAAAUUCCAAAUAAAAAUAACAAAAAAGAGUCCGCAAGCAACAAUAUCUACAACAAGAUCAAAUUUGAAAAAUAAACAGAUGUUAUCACUAAUGACUAAACUACCCAGAAUUUAUAAUCUUAAAACUUUUCCACUCCUUAAAUUCCAAAUAAAAAUAAUAAAAAGGAGUCCACAAGCAACAAUACCUAGACAAGAUCAAACAUUGAAACAUAACAAGAUUUAGUCACUAUGACUAAACUACCCUGAAUUUAUACUGCGAAACUUUUCCAUUCCUGAAACAAAAUUCCUAAUAAAAAUAAGAAAAAGGAGUCCACAAGCCACAAUACCAGCGACAAGAUCCAAUUAUCAAACAUAAAUUGAUGUUGUCACUGAUGAUGACUAAACUACCCAGACUUUCAUGUCCAAUUCUGUGCUUAUUGUGCAAUAGUGUAUGGCUUCUAGAGAACUGGCAUUGGAACAAAAGUAACAGAGGUUUCAGAGCAAGGGUAACAAAUGAGAAGACAGCAUGGUGUGAGUGAAACAAGCAUAAUCGCGUGUGUGAGUGUGGAUGAGAAGAUGGUGUUCAGGUUGGGUAGCUUAGGAGGUUGUGUCUCACUAUAUUUGGGCUGGCCUGUGGCUGUUGUUUUUUCAGGUAAUUUAAAGAUAUUGGGACAAUCCUAGUUAAAAGCUUGAUACUCAACAAUCGUCAUAAACAAGACAUAAAAAAUUAACCUGAUAUAAUUAGUCAUAGGGAAUCAAAUAGUGAAACAUGGCAUUUAUAGCUUAGUACUAAAACUCAUAAGGUGAUAAGGAUGCAUUCUUCUAGUUAGAGGUCAUCGUCAUAUAGAACUUCUCUUUGUCUUUGGAUUGCUUUCUAUUAUCCCCUCAUCAUUAUUAAUUGUACUCUAGAUAUCUACACCCACUGUUUUUAAUACAAUUUUUGCCCUGGACUGCUGUAAGUUGUGGAAGAUCAUUCACUAAGUUGAUCGUCAUGUUGUAGUGAAAAUUACUCGACAUGCUUCAAGUUGGGCAACUGGAGAAGGAUGAAAAAUAUGCUCCAUUAUAUCAGCUUCUUAAGAUUUUUCUUAACCAAGGCUAGAUGCAUACUUACACUAUCAUACUGCAAAUUCCACCUAGUUGAAAAGCUAUGAUAAAAUAAAACCAUUGAUAAGUAACUAAUAUUCAUCAAUAGUCACGUGCUGAUGUUUUAGGCCUUGAACAUGAAGAAUGCAUUUCCAAAAUGAGGCUGGUGCCAUUGGUGGAUCUGAGCUCUGAUGGUUCUUGCCAAGUUCCAUAUGAACUUAAUAUGGACACACUUCAGGUAAAACUGAAUUUUAUUUCUAUGUUUGUAUUUGUGUUCUUCCUAGCAUAAUCGAAUGUUGCAAUGUCUUGUUCAGAUCAAUGAUGACGAUGUGGAACUAUGGGUGGUUAAAGCCAUAACAUCCAAAUUAAUUGACAGUAAGAUGGACCAAAUGAACCAAGUAAUAGUUGUUACCUCAAAUUCUAGUCCCUCUCUGCAUCCCACUGGCUUACUCUACACUGAAGGCACAUGAACAUGUUGGCCUUAAUUACAUUACUAAGCUUCAUAUAGAUUCCCUCAAUUUGAAAAUUCAUUUAGCUACUAUACACGAUUUAAUGCAAAUGCUAAAUACGCAGUCAUCUCACUGAUCGCGCAAUGGCAUGCACUGAGAACUAAGCUAGGUUCUUGUUUAUACUUUUCAGCCAUCCUAGGACGAGUUUUCGUUCACUGGUUACCUCGGAUGGAGAAUCGUUUUUUCACAGGCUCGAGUGAACUCGAGCAAAAAAGCUACACUGGAAUUGUUCGUUUCUAGGUCACAAUUUAUGCAGAACGCACCUGAGUAACAAUUGCUGCGGUUCACUGGUUCUCUCUUGCAAGUUUCUGUUCGUUUUGGGUGUUGAUGUUGCGUUCUCCAACAGCACCAACGGAUCUGUGUUGAUGUCUUUCUCAGGUGGUUCUGCGUUUCCACCUUCUCCUUUGAAGUUCUCCUCAACACCCUCUACAAUCUCUAUGCGAUCUCACUGCUCCUCCCUUUUCUAUCUCUCCCUAUUUUGGAUCGUUGGCCCUCAUUUUAAUUCCAACAAACUUUAUAUAUAUUUAUAUAUAUAUAUAUAUUAAUACAAUCGAAUAUUUUGUCAUUUUAUAUUAAUUAUUUAAAAAUUAAUUUUUUUUUAAAUUUUUUAAAUUAAUAUUAAUGUACUGUUUUAUAUUAUUUUCAUUUUUUUCUUAAUUCAUUAUUUUAAGGCAGUAAUAGAAAAAAAAAAUAUACUCUCACACAUUUUCAUACUAACUCUUACAUAUAAAAUAAAAUAAUCUCACUCUAAACUUAUCUUAUAUUUCUAUUAUGGUAAAAAUUAAGUAAAAGAGAAAAAUAUAAAUAUAUAAUCAAUGAAUAGUAAAAUAAUAUAAAAAGUUAUUAUAUUAUAAAUAUAGUAAUAUAUAAUAUAAUCAAUGAAUAGUAAAAUAAUAAAAAAAGUUAUUAUAUUAUAAAUAUUUUAAUAUAAUUUUGAAUUAUUACAAAUACUAAUGAUGAACUUCUAUCUUGAACAUACUUUCUUUUAAAUACAAAAAUUUUAUUUUAUUUUAUUUAUUAAAUUAGACUUUUUUUUAUUGAUUAAAAGGAGUUGUAAUUGUUCUAACAUAUUAACAAUGGGAGUUAUUGAUCUCUUUUCUCAUAUUUUUUUCUUAGGUAUUCUCAUAUGGAUUAUGUAGUGAUAAUAAUAAAUGGGCCAAGGCCAAAAAUAACAUAACUGAAUAAGGGUUUUCGUACUAAAACUGAUGCAAUUAGCUUUUCUUAUUAUCAGAAUCGGUAAAAGAAAUUUAACUAUCACUAUGGAUAAGUUAUGUGUCAUUGGUAGUAUAUUAUUUGAAAGAAAUUUUGAUGUUGUUUCAUCAAUUGGAGUUAUAAUUGGAUAUAAUGUAUAAAGUUAGAAUUGAGAAAGUUGUAUAGUUUGUACAAGACUAGGAUUUAAUUUGAAUGUAUAUGGGUGAGGUAGGACUUUAUUAUAAAACAAAAAUAACUAAAGUUGUGUAUGGAUGUGAUAAUUUUAGUUUUUUUUUAUAUUGAAAUCGUGUUUCAUCCACGUGAUUUUGAUUUGAAUUAUUUUUUAUUGUUUGAGUAUUUAAUAAAAAUAUAAAAUAUUGUUGAAUUGAGUUAUUAAAAUUUUUAUAAAUUGGUAAGUUUCAUAUAUCUUAAAUUUGUAUGAUUUGUUUAAUUUUGGAAUUAAUAUUUGAAUAACUUUAUUUUAUGUGUUAGAAUAAUAGAAAAUUGAAUGUAUCAUAUGUUUUGAAAAAAAAACAUAAAUAGAAGAAAAUAAGAAUGUUAGAUGAAAUAAUGAGAUUUAAAUAAAUAAUAUGAAUAAAAAUGUUACAAAUGGUGACAUAUUAUUUUCUAUGUGGACAAUUGUUCAUAUUAUGAACUUCAUGAUAAUAAGAACAUUUUAUUUAUUUAUUUGGAAUUAGCUUAUCCAUUUUAUUAUGGAUACGAUUAGUUGUUGAUCUACCUUAUUCCUUAUGUUUCAUAUGGGAUCAUGAAUGAAAUUCGAUCAUAUAUAAGUACUCCAAUAAUUCUUAUUCUAAACUAGUUGAAAUUGGACCUGGUAAGCCUUGUAUAUUGGAGACCAUAAACAUCAUCAAUAAAGGUCAUUUUUGGCAAAUGACAGUAUGAACAAGUAGCCAUGACAGGAGGAUAAGGCAACGAAAGGCUUGAAAUUCCCUGCAAUCACACCAUUAAUCAUUUAAUUUAAUUGUAUAUAACAUAUGUUAAAGUCCAAGUUGGGGAGAGACUAUCUCCUGUAGAUCAAACUCUAAAUUAUCUCAAUUAUAUCUAUGCACAUGACACAUGAUAAAUUAUUGUUCAUUUUUUCUUAUUAAAACAAUAAUAUCUUCAAGAUAAUGAUGACUUGCUCGUAACAUAUAAGCUGACUUGGUCCCUCGUUCAACAAACCAUGAAUUCAUUAUUUCAAAGGUUGUCUAAGCAAGAGCACAAAUGGACAAGGAUUGUGUUCCCUUCAAAACAUAAUUCAUGCAUUCAACGAGAUUUGUUGUCAUAUGUGUGUACCUUGUGCUCCCUAUCACAUGCUUGAGACCACUUUUCUAAUGAUAUUUGAUCUAUCCACGAAACAACUUGUUGGAAUUGUAACUGUAUAGCGGAUAACUUAGUUUGAAGAGUUGGUUGUUUCAUUUCAUAACUUGGGACAAUUUAAUAAAUAAAGUUACAUAAACAUUUGAAAUUUUGUAAUGAUGUAUAAUGAAAGUUAAGGGAUGAUCAUACCCAUGUUUAUUAGUUGUCUUUUCAACUUUGACACUUUGACAUUUUGAACUUCUUGUUGAAGUUCGAUGCUAUUAGUGAAUGCAAUACACUAAGACGAGACCAUCUGCUUCCCAAUCGACUUUUAUAGAUGGUAAUGUUGAUAAUAUUGUUGCUUCUUUGUCAGUAACAACCAAUUUUGGUGAGGUGUGACGUAUAGUCAACAGUUGGAGAACCAUAUCAUAGCUUCCUUUUUCUCACCUUCAACGUUUAUAAAACUUAAAGAAAAUAUGUUUUGGUUGUCGUCUUGACCAAUUACAGUCAACAAACUGUCAUGAUAUUUUCCCCUCAGAAAUGCUUCAUCAACUUGAACUAUUGACUUGAAACAUUUGAAGUCGUCAAUGCAUGGUUUGAAAGACCAGAAGACACAUUCUAAGAUGUCAUAGGAGGUGUUUUAAACACCGUCAAUAACAUAAGGACGAGUAACAUAUUGUAUUCAUAUCACUUUGUUGAACAACUUGUAAUCAUCUUGGAAGAUGAUUAUAUGAGUCAUCCCAGUUGUCGAAUUCCAUUAAAGAGCCUUAUGUCUUGUCUGUUAGAAUGGAUGACUUUAAACUAGAGGGGGGGUGAAUUGUUUAAAGAGGGUUUUUGCAAACUUUUAAAACAAGAAUGAAAUUAUCUCAAGAAACAAUUGAUAAGAAAUUCAGUUUGCCAAAGCAGCAAUAAAAAAACAACAGUACCAAAAAAACAAUCGGUUGUUUAUACCAGCAAACAACAAACAAAACUGAAUUUAAAGAGUUAGGGAUAGAGAGAUUGCACACAGAUGUUUAUACUGGUUCACUCCAAAUCCAGAGCUACAUCCAGUCUUCUCAAAAACCCUGAGGAAAUCCACUAAGCAAUCACACCUUGAUCACUUACACCACAACCAAGAAAGUGACCUUGAACACCUCAAGACACACACUCUUCUUGGCCAACACACCAACACUAAGAUUGCUGAUCUUGAUCCCCUCAAGAACACACAGCCAAUCUCAGCAAAACACAUAAACGAAAACUUGUUUCACAGAGUACAAGGAUUACACUUGUUACAAAAGAUAAUCUGAAAUCAAUACAAGCAGAAUCCUAUUCCACAAACUUUGAUCAAUCACAAACUUUCCGCAAUCUCAGCUCUUUGAAAAACUCAAAAACUCUUAGCACAAAACUUGUCAAAGAUUCAUUCUCAAAUCUGUUUUUCUGAAUAUAUUCAAAGAUAUAGUUUGUUAUCAAAUCUUAACGAACUCUUAAAUUGCAUUAAAAGAUUGGUCAAAGCAUUUAAUGACUGGAGCGUAAGCAGUUAAAUCAUUUAAAGCUCAGUCAAAGAUAAAACAGUUUUUCUGUUAUGGUCCCAAAACAAACAAUCGGUUGUUUUCACGAAUCAAUCAAUUGUUUUGGUUCUAACAGUUCAACCAUUUUGAAAAACAGUUUUCAAUCUUUUCUUAAAACAUCUAAGUAUAAACAAUCGGUUGUUUCGACAAAAUAAUCGGUUGUUUUAACUUAGUUUGAAAACAUUUUACUUUCACAAAGAUUGAGAAUGCCUAUGCUUUAGAUUCAAUCAAAGGGUGGAUUACAACACUCAAACUACCCCAGAACUAGACUAAACCAGCACAACAACAGCAAGCACAACCAAGGCUUCAACAUCCUUCAAAGGGUUUGGAUUCUUCAAAGCUUGAACACCACUUAGUUCAACAUUGUAAUCCAAUCUUUUUUUGCAACUGAAAAAAUAACCAUGACAGGUUUUUAUUUAUGCAAUUAAACGUUUAAUUGGAUGGAAGGAUUUGUCUUGACCAAAUUGACCUCAAUGGAAGCAAUUUGGUUGAAUCCAAAUUUACAUGAUCAUUGGAAAGCACGGUUGACAAACACGUGUAAGGUGCUUCAAUUUACUGAGAUCGAAUUUUGCUAAAAGAAGAUCAAAGUCGUUAUUGACAAUUGUUGUCACACUAGAUGUAUCGUGCAACAUAUUUGUUUGUCUUUGAUUCAAAGACCAAAAAUUUGUACUCAUGGUCAAUGUGAAUUGCUUUAUCACAUUCAAUGUAACCUAUUUUGUAUUGAAGCACAUCCUUUCAUAAAAAGGUCAUAUUGAAUAUGGUGGCCUAACCAACUGAAGGAUUUAAAUUAUUGGUUGACAUAUGGAGAAACCAUCAUCUUGCGAUAUGAGUAUUCGUCUUCCUCUUCGAACUUAAAUUCCAUUACCAAAUCUCUUAUGAUUGGUUUAUCCUCAAUAUGUAGAAAUUGUUCUUUUGCCAUUGCCAAAAUAUAAAAAAUUAUCAAUUCAAUUUCCAAUACAACAAGCAUUACUUACUUGAAUUAUACAUAUAUUUGUGCAAUUCAAUACGAAGGUUGUGAUUCACUCUGGUAAGGCUUCACCCAUACUUGUUGAACCCUCUCAAGAAGAUGUAGUUGAAAUGAGUUUAACUUUUGUGUUAUAUAAUGUGAAGAAGAUUUACUUUAGGCCUUGUGUUUAUGUGUGGUUGAUUGAUUAAGGUUGACAAAAUAUUUGUGUGUAUAGGGAGGUCUUCACUUUUUAUGCUUAAGUUCAUUGAUAAAAUACACCAUUCAAUUCAAACACACGCAUACACACACAAAAACACAAUCCACACAUUACAACAAAGGAAUGUAUCUUCAAACCUUGGACUUAUACUCACUCUGUGCAUAUUCAUUGCCCCAUCACCUCCCUAACUCGUCAUGAAAUUGCUUAUUGGAAUCUUCAUCGAGCAAGAUACCGCAUCAAUGCUAAUUCUGUGAAAUUUAUAAAAAAAACAGAACAAUCAAAAUUUCCAAAACAGAAAAAAAAAAUCACAUUUCAACGCAACGAUAACGAAAGACCAAACAAUGGAACACACUCACCUCAAUCAGUUUUGAAGUCCAAUAGAACUCGCUUCACUUUGAGAGGGAAGGGAACAAAAGUAGGAAAUGAGAGGGAAGAGAUGAAAAAUGAGAGCUUAGGUUUACGCGGGGAAAAAGAAGAAAAAAGAGAUUAAAAAAAUGAAGAAAAAUGGAAGUGGUAAAAAAAGAGAAGAGUGCAUGUGGAUUAUGAUAGUGUGUGAUGAGGUAGAGGGAGAGAGAGAAAUGGUCAAAAUUUUGGGGUUUUGAGGUAUGGGAUCUAAAGGAAAAUAAAGUAAUCUCCCAAUUUUGAGAUAGAGGGACACAAAGGUAUGAUUCAUUUUAAAUUCCAUCUUCACCUUUUCAUACACAUUUAUUUAGGUGAUUCAUAUAUACUUUUUCAUUGUGAAGGUUGUUGCCGUAAGUAUUUUCAUUAUUUAGUUCAUGAACAUUUUGGCAUUGUAAAAGUUUCAUUGUUGGAUUAAUUUGUACAUGUUUAGAUUAAAGUUUAUAAGCAUAAGUUUAAAUAGAAGUAUGUUUUAAUACCAAGUUUGAUAAACCUUUGAAACUUAACGAAGGUAAAAAAACCUCUGUUAUUUUGCCGAGGUUUUAGAAUAAACUUUUGGACUUAACGAAGGUUAAAAAAACCUCCAUUAAUUAAAUUAAUUUAUGGGGUUAAUGUUUAACAUACUUAUUGUUUAACAUACAUACAUGAGCACACACAUAACUACCAAUGCAAUUACUCAAACACGUAAUACAUUUGAUAACCUCUAACCGAAACAAGUUUUCUAUCAAACCCAUUGAAAUUAUACAUUUUGUCAUUAUUUUUCACUUACUCAUGUUUCUGACAUGUCUUGACAAUUUUUAUGGACUCCUUAUGGGUACAAUAAAGUUAGUUGUCUCAUUGCUAUUGACAUUUCUCUUAUAAGUUAGAAAAUUGUUCCUCUUACUUAUUUUACAAUAGUUGAAUUUCAUUAAGUUGAUAAGGUUAGUACUUUGAGUUUCGCCAAAGUAUUUCAACGACCCAUUAAACCUAGAUCAUGUGCACAAAAAGGAUAGGAGAUGAAUAACUAAUAGAUAUUGACCACGAUAUCAUAAAUGGUGGGUCGCAAUGUGGAAUAACCGACAUAAUCGACUAAUUGAAAUUUAGUUUAAUGAAAAUGGUUGCUUGCGUGAUAAUACACAUUACACACAAUGAUACAUUGGACUUAUUAUUCGCUACAUUACACCUUUAUAACCUACAUUUGACAAUGAUACAAGUUUAUUUUACAAUUAAUUUACUGUUUUAUUUUUAUUCAACCUAUACUAAUAAUUAUUUUUCCAACAGUAAGACAUAUCACACCACACCGAACAACCUCAUUCAAAGCCCCUUCAUCAUCAUAUUGGAUCUUCUUCAAGUGUUCAACACGAAACUUUUGGUCAGUCUAGUUUGCAACCAACUAAAAUGUUCAAAUAUAUGGACUAUUACCACAACAUGUUUUCCUAAUUUCCGUACCAACAAAUUCCUUCCACUUACACGACUUUUCCAUCUCAACCAAUUAAUUUUUUAUGGUCCAUUAAACAUGUUUGACACUUUCAUCCACAUUUUUUCAAGUAUCAUCCAUGCAUUGUUACUGUCCCAUGAUGCCAUGAGUCCGAUAAUCCAACUAAGGACAACAAAGGAGAACACAAUGAUGAUACUCCACCACCCUUGCCUCCAAAUAUAUCUAUCAAACAUGACCCAUAAGAACAACCUCGAAGACAAAGAAGAAACCUUCCUUAUGACACAACAUCUCAUUGAUAGUUUGUUUCACUUAUAUAAUAACAACAAUUUCAUUAUCAAAUUUACAUUUCAUGUGAUUUUUAUUACUUAAUCUAAUUCUCUUAUUUGAAAUUCUUCACACCUUUUUCAAUCAGCAAAAUAAAUAUACAUCCAACAAAGUAUUAUAAUAUUAUAAUUUUUAACAAACUUUAUUACAUAUUUUUUAACAUAAUUUAUUAAAUAUAUGCAAAAUAAAUUUCUAAAUAAAUUUUUUAAUACAUUAUUGUUUUAAUUAAUAUAUUCAUACAUACAUCAAAUGUUACACAACAUUUUAAAUAAUUUACCUAUUCAAGCUUAUUAUUGAGAAACAUUAUAUUUUUUUAAAUUUAUCCUAAACACAUUACAAAAAAUAAAAUAAAAUCAAAAAAUAAAAUCGUGUGGGUGUGAUACAACUAUAAUGUAAAACAAAAACAACUGAACUCCUCAUAAUGUUUUACCCACACAACUUAUGUUAAACCCUGAACCUAUGCUAAUUAAAGUCGUGUUUAUACUACAUGACUUUCUGAAAUCUAAUUUUGUUCUAAAGUUGUUAUAUUCAAUCACAACUUCUUCAUUCAAUAUUCAUUCACAUUAAAGUCGUGGACCAACAUGACAACUUUCUUCAAAUAAAGUAUUGUCAACAAAAUAUAACUUACAUAUUCUAGUAAAAAUGAAAACGAAUUGCACCAUUUUGAUACAAAAAUCGAACUAAGAGGAAUGAUGAACACAAAACUUGAAAGUUAUUAAUUAAUUAAGAAAGGAAUGGUUAAUUAUUAAUAAUUAUAAUAUGUGUCUUAUGAAAAUACAUGUAUUCAUUUUUUUUCUUAUAAAAAUAAAAAGUAAUUUUUUUUAAUUUUUAUCAUAAUUAUUAAAAUUGAGUAUAUUUUUUAUUUUUAUUACAUUAAAAAUAUAUAAAUUUAUUACUUUAUGAAGAACUAAUUAAAAAAUAAAAAAAUAUAUAUACAUAUAUAAUUUUGUAAAAAUAGUAUUAAAAAAUGUAAUAUCUAAAAAAAGUAUUUAAUUAUUUAAAAAUAAGAAGUUAUUCAAUUUGUUGUUUUAAAUAAAUAAAUAAAUAAUUUUUUAUUUAUUAGAAGGUAUCUAAUAAAUGUAUCUUUAUUUAUAGAUAAUUAUUAAAAUAAAAUAUAUUAUUAAAUUAUAAAAAAUGUAAUUAAAAAUUAUAGUAAUUUUUAUAAUUUUAUUUUAGGUAGUUUUUAUUUAUUUUGUAGUUAGUUUUUUUAUUGUAGAUAAGUAUUUUAGUUUAAAAAAAUAAAACGGUAAGAUAUUUUAUAAAAGAAAUUAUAAUUUUUUUACUAAUGUCGUGGAUAAAAAAUAUUAUUAAAUUUAAAAAAUAUAUUAAUAAAAGAUAAUUAUAAAAUAAAUAAUUUUAUUAGAAAUAAUAUUUCAUUAUAGUAAUCAAUUAAAUUUAAAAAUAAUAAUUAUAAAAUUUAAAGAAUAAAAUAAAUCAUAUUAAAAAUACUAGCGAAAACAAGUUAUUUUACGAAUAUAUUCAAUUUUUUAUUUUUAUCAUUUAUAUAUAAAAUAAUUAUUAUAAAAUUUAAAGACUAAAAUAAUAAAAUAAAUCAUAUUAAAAAUGAUAAUUACAUAAAGGUUAUUAAAUUUAUAGAAUAUUAAUAUUAAUUAUUAUUAAUUAACUCAAGAGUGAGUUAAUAAGGAGUUUUUUUGGUUACUAACACCUUCUUCUUCCUUUCUUCUUCUGUGCUGCGGGUUCCUUUGUAACCUCUCAGAGUCUCAGUAACAGAAACAAUGACGACUGUGGUGCCAACCUCAGAAGAAGACGCGGCGCUCUCUGUCGUUCGAUUCGCUUCCGAACUCGCUUGGGCCGAUGCCGGUCCUGAGGUAUUUUCCUUCCUUACCCCCAAACCCUUAUUCUUUGUUUUUCCUUCUCUAGACUAAUUUUAAAUGGUUCCAUUUUUUGCUUAUUUCUUUGCUUCGUUAUUAUUUCAUCGCAAAGGCAAAUUGUUUGUGGGACUUGAAAUUGAAUCUGAGUUUGUGAGACACGGUGCCUUCUGAAGGUGAAUUCAAGUAGUUGGGUUUGUGUGAAAAUGCUUUCUGUAUCGUUAUGUUGUGGAAGUUUCCCAGAUUUGUGUCCAUUUUUGGAAAAUGAAAGGGUGGGAAUGGUUAUGUAAUUGUUAGAUUCGUUUGAUAGGUUGAAUGGAAAAGAGAAUGGUUGUGUGUUCACACAAGAAAAGAUAGAAUAAAAAAUAACUAUACGCGAGGAGGUAUUAUUGAUGUCACACUGAUUGAACAAUAGAUACAGAAAAUCGUUUACUGAGUAGAUUGCAUGCUUUUAGUCUCGUAAAGAAGGAGACUGAGGGACCAUGAAAGACACUGGAGGAAGUUGUUAAGAGGAAUCCCAUGGUAAAUGAUAUCUCUAAAGAUUUGGUUUAAUGUCUAAAAUGGUGUCGUGUGAUAUAUGUUGCUAACCUCACCUAAUGGGAUAAAAGUUUUGUUGGUAAUGUUAUUGUGAUUUAUAUUGAGGAGUACUAGGAACAUACUCUUCCUAACACACUCUCUCUUGUUGGUUAAAAUUUUACUGAAAACUACAAAGUCAGGAGAGAUAGUCAUUAAAUAAGUUGUGAGACUCAUCAAAUUUUGUGAGUUCUAAUAAAUUUCAAUCAAUGGAGAGAGUUUGUUCCUAGCAUUUCUCUCUUUUUUCGUAUUUUCAGGGUUUGAUGUUACAUUAUUUUGUUCUAUUUCUUCUCUGUGCACUCGUGUCUUUUAUGAUGUUCUUAAGUUGGUGCUUGUAUUAUUUGUGAAUUUAGUGCUUCCCAUAUUGGUUGGUCAGGUUGCUGAGCCACAAGUUAGUAGACUCUGCAUUGAGGCUCAAGAGUUCAUUGUUAUGGGAAAGUGGUUGGAGCUAGCAUCAUUGAUGAUUACCUCUGCUGAAUUGAUUUUCUCAAAGGUUUCGGAUAAAGGUAGAAUGCUCUUUUGUGCCACUUCUGGUAUUGUAUUCAUCUUCCAUUUUUGGUUUGGUUCUAGUUCCAUAGAUAAAAAACACAAAUCACUUACAAUGUGUAUUUGUUAUGCAAUCAUCUGAGCUGGAUCUUUUGCCAACUCGGCUACUUUGGUUUAUUAUGGCAUUGUUGAUGUGUGAUCAUCUAAUCCUUUUUUCUUGAUUAUGUUGCAUUUGUGGCUCCUUUUUUGGGUGUUGCAUUUCUCGUUUUCUUGUUUAGAAUCAAAUUUGUUGUUGCACACAGAACUGCUCAGGGUGAUAGAAUACUGUAAUUUUACCAGCGUAAUGCGAGUGCUAACAAGUUUUUCUAUUUCUUAAUAGCAGAUAUAGAGUCCAUCUUCACUAUAAUCUGCAAUCUUGUUACAAAGACUGAGAGUACAGAUGAAGUAAUGGAGAUUGUAAAAGUUAUAACUGCAAAAAUAGUUCAGCAGCCAAACGAAAAGCCUGUCGUGCGAUUGAAGAUGUAAUAUCAGAUGCUAAUUGGUUUAACAGUUUUGGUAUGCAUGCUAUUGUAACUAUUUAUAUUAUUGAUUUAAAAUAGAUUCUCUUUUCUUUUACAGUUUGAUCAAUCUGUACAAUCUUUUGGAGACUCCAUACUGCCAGUUUUAUGUCUACAUGAAGGUAUUGACUUUAGCUGUUGAUGGGAAAGUCACAGAAUACAUUAUACCUUCAUUCAAAAAGAUGGACCGCUUCUUGAAAGACUGGAAAAUUGGGAUACCUGAACAGAGAGAGCUCUUUCUCACUCUCUCCAAUAUUUUGAAGGAAAAUAAAAGGUACAGCUGAAAUGAAUUCCUAUUUAGCUCAAUUUUAUGUAUGUUCUCCUUAUCUCUCUUUGGAGGGAGAGUACUACUUAAGUUUCUUCCCGUCAGUAUUACUGUGCUCCCUUGAGACAGAAAUCUUGUAUCCAUCUUUCAAUCUCCAUUUUUUAAUAUAAAUAAUUAGUACUGCAUCUCAUUUUAUCUCAGCAUGUCAAAGGAUGCUUUUAAGUUCCUGACCAAUUAUCUUGCGACUUUUGUGGGAGAAGAUGUGCAUGUUUUGAGUGAAGCCAAGGAGGAGGCCGCACGUGCAAUUGUGGAAUUUGUGAGGGCACCUGAUAUAUUUCAGGUACUUUUUUAUUGUAAUCAUGUAUAUGUGUGAUAUUUGAAAGGUUUUAUGAUCUUACUGCUUCAGCUACCUACAUUCAAUUAUUUUUAGGAGUUGCCAGUUGUAAUAUCAUCACAUGUUUUUUCAAUUGCUUCCUAUGCUUAGGUGCUUGACUUUCCAGUCUUUGUGUGUGUGUAUAAUUAGACAUAGAGGUAUGAAACAGUGAACCAUGGUGAUUUAUUGCUUUUUACUAAAACUCAUAAGGUUAUUGGGAUGUUUUCUUCUUGUUAUAGGUCAUCAUUAUAUGGAACUUCUAUUUGUCUUUAGGUUGCUUUAUAUUAUCCCCUCAUAAUUAGUUGUCCUCUAGAUAUCUAUGCCCACUAUUUUUAAUGCAAAUUUUGGCCUAGACUGCUGUAAGUUCUGGAAGAGCAUUCACUAAGUUAAUUGUCAUGUUGUAGUGCGAUUUACUGGACUUGCCUGCAGUUGGGCAACUGGAGAAGGAUGACAAAUAUGCUCCAGUAUAUCAGCUCCUUAAGAUUUUUCUUACCCAGAGACUAGAUGCAUACAUAGACUAUUAUGCUGCAAAUUCCACCUUGUUGAAAAGCUAUGGUAAAUACCAUUCAUAAAUUAUUCAUGUUCAUCAAUAGUCACAUGUGUAGGGCUCUGUUCUACUUAAUUUUACUAUCACAAUGUUUUCAUGUUUUAGGCCUUGUACAUGAAGAAUGCAUUUCCAAAAUGAGGCUGGUCUCAUUGGUGGAUCUUAGCUCUGAUGGUUCUUGCCAAAUUCCAUAUGAACUUAUUAGGGACACACUUCAGGUAAAAUUGUAUUUGAUUUCUAUGCUUGUAUUUGUAUUCUUUCUAGCAUAAUCAAAUGUUGCAACGUCCUUUUCAGAUCAAUGAUGAUGAGGUUGAAAUAUGGGUGGUUAAAGCAAUAACUUCCAAGUUAAUUGACUGUAAGAUGGACCAAAUGAAUCAAGUAAUAGUUGUCAGGUAUUUUCUACCUCAAAUUCUCGUCUCUCUGCACCCAACUGGCUUAAGCUGAUCUGGGGGCACAUGGACAUGUUAGCCUUAAUGAUUUCUAUUCAGCAUCAUAUUCCCCUCAAUUUGAAAUUCAUUUUGCUAUUAUACAUGAUUUGAUGCAAGUGUUAAAUGUGCAGUCAUCCUACUGAUCGUGUGUUUGGCCAGCACGAAUGGCACGCACUGAGAACUAAGCUAGGAUCAUGGAGGGUAAAGAAUUUCUUGUCUAUAAUUUUUAAUCGUCCUAUUUUUGUACAUCCAUUCACAUAAUAAGUAUUGCCUUGAAUUUAUGAUCUGUAAUAUCAUGAACAAUAUUUGACUUUAAGAUUUUAAAAGCCUGUCAGUUUGAAUUAUGCUGCAAAUGGGAAAGUUGGACUGUUUUACGAAUAAAAUUAUCCCCUGAAGGUGUUUUUUAUUCAUUCCAUGUCUGGAAUAUUGGUGGUGCAUACAAUUUUAAUUAUUAUUUCACUAGUUUUUUUUUUUCUGGACAAUGUUUGUUUAUGCUUAAAUAUAUGAUGCGAUUUGUUCUUGAUGAUGGCUGUGCAGUUAAUGACAUUUUGAUUGUUGAGUAACUCGAUGAAAUAACAUUGCUUCUACACGCAUAACAGGUUUCUGAUUGGCUAUAUUGUGUAAUUACUUGUUUCCUUUUUCCAGGGAAAUAUUGCAAAUGUUAUCAGUACCAUUCAGGCCAACAAAAUAACGGAGGAUGGGUCUCAGACAGCCCAAGGUUUGGUAGUUCGGUGAGGACGUUGUCAACCGAAACAAUUGUCUGAAUUCUAUUCAGGUGGGAAUUUUUUAAUUUUAAACGGAGGAAAAUUGUAAUUUUUGUUACAAGUUUUCAAUUUAUUUUUGUUUAGUUGGUAGGUGACUCUAAUUGUACUACCCAACUUUGACAUAGAAGCCAUUUUGAUUGAAGUUUUUUCCAUUUGUAUGUUAUGUUGGCCACCUCAGAGUAGAUUAUACCUGUGGAUUGUGGUCCUAGAAUCAAAAUAUGAUCUUUGUGGACAUAUCUCUCCAUAAUAUCUUAUAAGAGGAAAACAAUAUAGAAAAGUAAAAAAGAAAAAUUAGUUUAUACGUUAGUUAAAUCAUUUGUUUGUGUUGAUUAUUGUGGUCCUAGAAUCAAAAUAUGAUCUUUGUAGAUUAUUGUGAUAUUGCAAUUCAACUUGGAUGUGAAGCGUAAGCUCUACUAGGAUGUAUUUGACUCACUUGUUUGUGAUGAACAAUGUGCAUUACAUUGUACAGAAGGUGAGGGAGAUUGUUUGAUUGACGGGAUAGUAAAAUGUGUUUAAUUUUUUAAUUUAGAUGAUACAAUGAAUGGAAAGAGAAGUUCAAAUUGAGUUGUAAAAAUUGAAAUUAAACCUUGGAUCUAUGAAAGAUUAGUGCACGAAGAUAGAAUUUACUUCUUUUAAAAGAUGACAAAACAACUGAAGGUCGUUAUGAGAAAGACUCUAUUUACUCAACAAAUUUUUAUAAUAUAACAAUAGCUCAAAAACUUAUAAACGACUUGUUAAUUUAUAUUUCUUAAUUAACGAGUUUAUUGUGUAUUUAAACUUGUUUCGAGAAAUAUAUCACUUAAACUUUUAAGUUUUUACUUUCUUUAAAUUUUUAGCUUGAAUGAAAUGUCCUUUUAGCUAAAUUUGGGUUAACUUAAAAGCCACAAAAAUACUUUUAUAUCAAGGAUAGAUUUUAUUUCAUAGUCUCUCAAAUAGAUACUUAUUAAUAAAUAAGUGAACUAGAUAUUUCAGUUGUUAGUAUAUUAAUUUUUAUUACAUGGGACUUAAACUCAGAAUCUAUCCUUCUCUCCACUUUUCAAUUUUAUAUUUCCAUUAGUGAGUAACAAAUAAUUUACAAAUUAUUAUUUUUCUAAAAAUAUAUGAAAAGAGUUAUUUUUCUGUGAUUUCUGUAUUGAGAUUAUUAAGAUCCAUAAAUCUCAAUAUUAUAAGAAUUUUUUAAAUCUGAAUUUAAGUCUUGACCAUGAAAUCAGAACUCAACCUUUUAAUGUCAAUUAUUUUAUCAAUUCCAUAGAAUUGCAUGAGUUUUACUCAAGACAAUUAAAUUUAAUACUUCACAUUUUAUUAGAAAACAGCUAGCUCUUUACAUAAAGAGCAUUUGCAUAUCCGUUGCAACUUUUAUCAAUUCAUACAAUAAGUUACUUCAUUGUAAGUCUUGUUUUGUCACUUCUAUGUUGUUUGUUAUCACAUUAACUUGGUGUGAUCUGUCUCUGUUCUCAAAAUUCUGAUAUAAUUUACAGAAUUCUGAUAUAAUUCUGAUAGAAUUGCAUGAGUUAGCCUUGAACACAACUCAGAUUUGCAAAUUUAUCAAACAAACAUGGAAAACAAAAACUCCAGAAAUUCCUGCAGUUAAUGCACAUUUAUUUCUCAGAAACUUUUCCAUCUCACAGGAAUUAUUCCAUAUAUAUCAACAUUUGAUAAGCUUGUAGUACAAAUGAUACACAAUAAUACAAUCAGCACAUAAGCAUUAGUUAUUACAUACAUACAGCAUCAGAUAUUAUGACAAAAACAUAAUGCAACAGUUGAGAUUAAUUCCAUGUGAUAAAGACUAUAAAAUAUGUUCUUAGCAACCUCUGGUGUAAUCAUCACAACGCUGUAUAGGGCCACCUCCAUUUGCAUCCGGCAAGCAGCUACGAUAACCCAGUAAUUCUGGACAAAAUACAGCUUUGUUGUUUCUGUUGCCUGUUUUGCCACACACUGACAGGCUCACAUCAUACAGCAUUCUGCUCACAUGGGAAUCAAAUGAGAACUCUGAUUCCAAGUUAUUGCCUAUGAAACCCUCAUACUUGGCGUUCACAACGUAAUAGCUGUGGAUCACAAUCAUCACCAACACUAAGGAGAGACCCUUCUUCAUUUUCUUGUGCCCUCUUUUGUUUUCUCACUCACAAACCACCUACAAGGCUAUGUGGUUUGCAAGGUAAGCUUGGCUCUCUUUAUAAGUUUAUAACUAAAAAAAGUUUAUGUAGAUAACCAAUAAGUCAUUGUUGUUAUUUUUAAUAGGGUUAAAUAUCUUUUUCUUUUUUUUAUGGUAUAUAAUACACAAUUGUUUUUUUUUAAGUCUAGAUUUCCUGAAUAUUUAUAAUAAGAAAACUAUUAGAAUAAGUAUUUAUAAAUGUCUUUUUUGUACGUAACAAACAAAUUUUCAAGCUGAAAUAUAUUAUAAUAUUAUAACAUUUAUGUCAAUUAUCAACAUGAAAUAUUUAAUAUUUUAAACUUAAAAUUUUGGUUCACACUGAAGAUUCGUUUGUCACGUAACAAAAUUUAGCAAUGAUUUAUUCUAAUAGUUUUUUUAUAACAAAUAUUUAAAAGGUCUAAAAUUUAUACUAGGAAAUUUUAUUUUUUUUUUGCAUAAAAGUACAUGAACGCAAAACAUAUUUAACCAUUUUUAAUAUUAUUAUUGUAAAGUAAGUAUACCUGAUUAUUAUAUACUACAAAUAUCUAAAAGGUCUAAAGUUUGAAUUAGAGAUGAAAACUAAUUUCGUGUAAAGGUAAAAAACAUAUUUAACAAUUUUUAUUAUUAUUAUUAUAGAGUAAGCAUACUCAUUAUUAUAUACUAUAAUUUGUGAUUAUAUGAUAAUAUACCAUUUAUUUGUAUUUUUCAAUAUAAAUAGCACUAUAGUGAUUAUUCUUAAUUAUACAAGAGUAUUGUUCGAAAAAUAGUUUAAAAAAUAUAAUUUAAAAUCAAAUAAGUAGUUGCGUUUUUGGAUAUUUUGGCAUUCUUGAGCUGGCUUCUUCCUUUUUCUUCUUCUUUAAUGGGGAGCUUUGCAUUUAUUUCUACUUGGCAAUGCACGUGUGUUGUCCUACUUCAAAACUUUUAUCUCAUAAUCCAUGCACGUGAGUUCAACUAAUUUAACUAAUUUCUCUCAUUUGGGUCUUUCACUCCCUAUUUCUUUUCCAUGUAAACUUUCAAGAGUGAUGUACUAUGUAGAUAUAGAUAUAUAACACUAUACGAAUACUUAUAUGGUGAUACGUAUAAUCUCUAAAAUGUAGGACACAGAUACACAAAUCUUUAUAUUAUAUAAUUAUAAAUUAUAUAAAUUAACAAUAAAGAUUCACAUGCAUUACUAUGUUUCAGUUUUUUUUAGUAGAAAGAUAUUUUGUAUGGUUGAUUCAAAAUUAUUUGUUUCUUAUUUUUAUAAUCAUAUUAAAAAUUUAUACAAUAAGUUUGAGUUUUUAGAAAAUUAAUGUAUUUUUUUUUCAAAUUUGUGUUAGAAGUGUCAGAAAUCCAACAAAUAUUUUUUGAAUUAGACACUUCAUCAAUACAUAUCCUACGAAUGUUAUACGAGUGUCGGUAUCAGAUACGUGUAUCCGACACAGACACGUCAUUUAAGAAAAGUGUCCAAACCUCAUAAGAUUGAUGUAUUAUGGAUUCUUUUACUUGUGACUAAGCACUCAUUUUGAUGUAUUAUGUUCAUUUCUUUUAGCAUUGUUGCAUAUUAUUAUUCACCAAUGAUUAAAACUGAUAGUAGCAUCAAACAAAAGGGAUAAAAUACUUACUAGUAUGUUUCACUAAAAAUGAUUAGUUUGGUUUUUAAUAGAAAUUAAUUAUAUGUAAGUCAGUAGAUACUUUCUAUCAAUAAUAGAACAAAGAAAUAUUUUUUUAAACCAACUCAUCUCAGUUUCAAAUUAAUUUUUCUACAUUCUAGUUUAGAAAAUUUAUGCAGUACAUUUUGAAGAUAUACUCAAGUUAUACUUUGAGUCAUUAACUCAGUUAAAAGAUUAACAUGAUUUUUAAAUAAUUAUAUUUUAAUCGUAUACUUUUUAAAAUUAAAUGAUAGUGUUAUAUAUUGCAUGGUAUUAUUUUAAUAUCGAUUAUUUAUAUUAAACACUAUAUCUAAGUAACUAAAAUCAGUUUCAAGUCUUAAAAUCUUUAACUAUAAAUCUCAGAUCCUUAAAAACUUUUUUAUUCUUCAAAUUUAACUUCCUUCCAUAUUGAAACCUAUAGUUAAUGAAAGUCAUCAAUGUGUUAAUGGAGCAAGAAGUGAUGCAAAUAAAAAAUCAAAUUCCCUCUUUUCGUUACUGUCACUACAAGAAAAUUAUCAAAUAAAACCAAUUUUUAGAGACCAAAAUAAUUAGUUACAAUAGUAACUAAAUUAGAGACCAUUUUAACUAUCAAUUAUUUAGUUUCUAAAUUUGGUAUGUAAAACCUUGGUUGCUAAUUAGAUACCAAUUUAUAAACAAUUUAACAAUAAUAGAAACUAAUUUAGAAACCAAUUUUUUUUUAGUUUAUAAAAUGAUCUCUAAUUUAGUUACUAUUACAACUAAUUAUUUUGGUCCCUAAAAAUUAAUUUCUAUUCUAUACCUUGUAUUUGUGGAUGGAUUAAAGGAACAAAGUGUUUCUGAUUAUACAAUCUUAAAGUUAUUCUUUUAUAUUAGAUUGUGUAGUAUAGAAUUUUAAAUUAUACAAUUCAAAAUAUUAAAAAUUAUUAUUUUUACUGUACAAUUCGGAAGAUAAUAUUAGAUUAUAUAAUUUAGAAUUUUUUUUUUAUGAAAAAAUAUUUUUAGAUUUAUAAGAUUUGUUUUCAUAUAAAAAAAUGAAUUCUAGAUUAUAUAAUAAAAAUGGACAAGUCCAUUAAGGAUUCGUUUUUUUGGCAAAUUUUCCGUGCACUACUUUCAUUGGUUCUUCCCACAUUUUCAUAUAAUUUUAAAAUUCUAAACGUAUUUUACUUAAAAAAAUAUAUAAAAUAGAAACCAAUUUUUAGAGACUAAAAUAAUUAGUUGCAAUAGUAAUUAAAUUAGAAAUCAUUUUAGAAACUACAAAUUAGUUUCUAUUAUUGUUAAAUAGUUUCUAAAUUGGUAUCUAAUUAACAACCAAAGUUUUAAAAACUAAAUAAUUGGUAGUUAAAACUUUUGUUGCUAAUUAGAUACUAAUUUAGAAACUAUUUAACAAUAAUAUAAACUAAUUUAGAAAACAUUAUUUUAUUUAGUUUCUAAAAUGUUCUCUAAUUUAGUUACUAUUGCAACUAAUUAUUUUGAUCUCUAAAAAUUGGUUUCUAUUUCAUGAUUUUCUUGUAGUGUUUGUGGGUAUGGAUUGAGUAAUCCAUAACACCUCUCAUUUAAAAUGUAGACAUCGGAUUGAAUAAUUGAAAGCUAAAAUCGGAUCCGAGAUUGCAUAUCAAAUUAUACAAUCCAAUUUGUGAAUUUGUUUUGUAUAUUGGAUUGUACAAUCCAGUAGGCAAUCUCAAAUUCGAUUUUAGUUUCCAAUUUUGUGUACAUUUAAUUUGUAUUGCAAAUCGAAUUGUACAAUCCAGUAUUUUUUUCAAAUAAUAUAUUGAAUUGUAUAAUUAUGGAUAUCUUGAAUUCGAUUAUAUAUAAUGGAUUUUCCAAUUCGAGAUGUUAAUAAAAAAAAAAUCGGAUGGUAUGAUCCAAUAUCAAAGCAACACAUAAAAAAACAAGGUCCAAACAUGGUGUGAGGAAGAUUCACAGGAAAAAAAAAUUAAAUAUACCUUCGCAAUAAGACAAGUCUUUUACGUUGAUUGUUAUCGCUGUGGCAAUCUGUAUGGGAAGAGAAACUAUACAUUCAUAGACGAAAUUCAAAUCAUUCUUGGUAACAAAAAUACACAUUUAUUAUGAGUAGUUGUACUGGUUCCACAAGAAGAAAAUGAAGGAGUGUAUUGUAAUGUUAAGAGAGAAUUAGAAUAUUUAAAUUUUUAAAAAAGGACAAAAAAAAAUUCACAUUAAUUAUGGAGGUGUAGGAAGAACCAAUGGAUAUGGAGGAAGAAUUUGCCCGUUUUCUUUCUUCAAAUGUGUUGAGCCCAAUUCGGUAGAAUACACCAAAAGCCCAAUGCAAUAGAGUACAGCAAAGCCCACUUUUGCUGGUUAACUCCUAUAGUAGGCAAUUGCUUCCUGCAAUGCACCCAAUUACAAGAAAAAGACGAAAAUAUCCUUAAAAAUAUAAGGUACAUAUAAAAUUACAUUUCAGAUCCCUUUUUUCAGAACACGAUAAUCUCUUAUAGAUAAAUUUUUCCAGAAUGUAUUAUUUUCAAUUCCAGAUUUUUUUUAUGCGGAAUAGGAUUUUGAUUUUUGUUUAUGGAUUUUUAUAUCCGGAACACAAUAAUCUCUUUCGAAAUGCAUUAUUUUCAUUUUCAGAAUAAAGGGUAUUUUCAAAAUUUUAAAAUUGUGUUGGGUGCAGGUUCAAAAUUAUAGGGUGCAGGAAGCAAUUGCCCCUAUAGUAACUAUGUAAGCAUUGCUUCAUUCUACAAUAAGAAAAAAAAAGGAUUAACAUAAUGCUUCUCAAUCUUGAUGGUUUGAAAAGAGUAUUUAUAUAUGUACCUCUAAAAUUUUGACUAACACCAUAAUCAUGGUUGGAAUGGUCAUAGUGAGUUAAUUUGAUUUAUAGUGAGCUAGAAAUAUUGCAGCAAUUCACUAGAUGAGUUAUUUCACUUAAAUAUAUUUUAUUUUCUAACAUAUUUUAUAUAUUUGUUAGAACUGUAUUAACUUUAUUCACCUAUUUAUUACAGUACAAUAAAAAAUGAUUUGUUAUAGGUUCACACGACCUACUUGUUUCUAAUAGUAAAAAAAUAUUGAUGAAUUAAAUGAAGAUUCUAAAUUUCUAUGUAAAUAAAUUACAAAUUCACUCAUUUUCAACUCGACUUAAACAUGUUUAAUCUCUGGGUUAGGUGAGCUGUGUUUAUUUUGAUUUAUAUCAGAAAAAAAUAUUUUUUUAACUUAAUUUGACUCAAAUUUAUGAUGAACAGAAUUAAGUCAUGAAAUCUCAUCUUUAACAUUGCUAUUUAUUAAAAAUGUUCUGAUACUAAACAACUAAAAUAAAAUAUUUACGUGAUAUAAUUAUAAACAUAAAUGUUAAUAUACACCUUAUAUAAUUAAGACAAUAAUAUAUAUAUAUAUAUAUAUAUAUAUAUAUAUAAAUGAGAUAAUCACGAUGAAAACUUCACAUAUAAGUAUUUUUUAAAUUUAAUAAUACAAUAAUCAUAUCAUUAAUAAAAAUAAAAAUAUCCUUUUUCUUGAAUCUUGUCUCGAAAUUUGUUAAUUAUGAUAAAAAUAAGAAGAUAUAUUUGAUCUAUACAUAAAUCAUAAAAUAAUUAUGAAAAGUAUAAUAUAAAUAUUAAAUUCAAAUAUAUAUGAAUGGAAUGAACAUACUUGUAGAGGAUAUAUUUUGGGUGUACCUUGAGGUAGGUUUGGGCUUUAGUAUUCUGAUCCAAUUUUGGUUUAGUUUAUCCCUAAUUUUUGUAUGAAAAAAAAACAUUUUUAUUAUGCAAAUUUCCCUUGAUGAAGAUGUAUUUUUUUAUUGAUUUAAAUAAGUUUAACAUUACAAUACACAUCUGAAAUCUUCUCUUAUGUAUUGUGUCAUAAAAACACAUUGGAAUAACACAAUACCAUUGUGUAUUUUACACAAAAUACACAAUCGAAACUUAUUUUUGUUGUGUACUUAAUAGUAUAUACUAGUUAAUUUUUAAAGAAAGUUUCUUUCAAAUUUAAUUAAUUAUAAAUAAGUUACUUUUUUUAAUAUUAAUAACAUUAAUUUGCUUACGUUUUUAUUUAUUUAUUGAGUCUUAGUUGAUUAACACAAGUUACCAUUUUCAAUAUUAAUUGAAUUAAUCAUGAUACAAAUCAAUAACAUAAUUAAUUUAUAAAAAAUAAAAUAUAUUUUUGUCUAAUAAUUAAUUCAAUUAUUAUUAUUAUUGUAAAUAGUAAAUUUUAUUGUAAUUAAUUUAAUUUCAAUAAAAGUGAAGAUAUAUCAUACUUACUUUGACUACUAUAAAAGAAGAUAAGUUAUAUCAGAAUUAAUUUAAUUUAAUUUUAAUUAAAGAAUAAUUGAUAUCAUCAUUAAGAAUUAGUUAUUAUAUAGUGAAAAUUCCAAUUUAAUUAAUUUUUCUUGUAAAAAAUAAAAAAACGUAUUUUGUUAUCUGAUUACUACUGAACCUCACAUUCCUAUGGAGAGAAAUGGGAAAUAUGUUAUAGUUAAAAAUAAUAAUUUUAUGUAUUAUGUGGAUAUUUUUAAAUUUAGGUGAAUUUUGAAAUCAUUUGCCAGAGUGUUUUUGUUAUCAACUUUAUUUUCUUAUUAAGAAGAUAUAAUAAUACUUUUUUAAAUGAUGUAGUUUAAACAAUGUUUUAAAAACUUGUCUAUUAAGAUAAAUAUAUUUAUAAGUACUUACAAGAAAAAAGUAAAGAAAAAAAUAAUUCUGCAUAAGUUGAAAAUAAAUUUCCCAUAAUUAUAAUUUUUUUUAUAUUAGCUUCUUACAAAAAUUAUUUUUAAUUUAUGUAUUAAUUAAUUUUAACUUCUUUAAUUUUUCUUCUUAUUUAUUAAGAUAAUGAAAUUUAAACUUAACUUAAUUUCAUUAAACAUGUUUAUUAAUGAGAAGUUUGCUCCUACUUAUAUAUUGUAAUUUAGUUUUAUUUUUAAUUGAUGUGAGAUUUUCAACACACCACUCACAUCGAGGAUAUCGUGUGUUCAUGUCAAAGACAUUGAGCGUGAGAAUUGUUAUGUCAUAUUCCUCAAAUAGACCAUCAAGAAUAAUCUCAAUGUAUUCAUCAAUCGAGAUAAGUGCUCCAAUGGGACAUCCACGUUUUCUUGAUAUAUAAUAGAAUGUAUUGACAAUGCGAUCUUUUUUGGGGUUCUUGAGUUGGACCUUUAUGUGAUUAAUCGGUUCCAAAUCUGGACAGUAGUGUAAAACUCAACUAUUUUUGUCAAGAUUGGUGUAGUCAUGGUGACAAGCAUCUACAAUAAAAUUAGAAUAUGUGAUAAUAAAAUUUUCAAUGAUAGAAGAACUAACUUUCGAACGCUGAAAUAUAUAAAAUUAGAUUUUAAAGAUUAAAUUAGCUUUAAUAGAAAAUAUUUUCCUUUUUGACUCUUGUCAUUAAUUACCAUCUUGAUAUAAUAAUUUUAGAAUAGAUUUACAAAGAAUAUCAAUAUGAGAUAAACUAAAUAUUUAAAAUUAGAUUUUAAAAAUUAAAAUAUCUUUCGGAGUGAAGAUUUCCUUCUUUUAUCAUCAUACUAUUAUUACCUUUUAUAAACAAUCCAUGUUGCAAUAGAUCUACAGACAAUGUUGAAAUUUUCCUUAUUCAGACCCAGGUUUCAUCAGCCUUUUGUUCAAAAGAUAAUUCAGAUUUGGAAACCUAGGAAAGACUGUGACUUGAUAACAUGGUAAGGUUUUGGUUUUGUUCUCCUUAGUUUUGUUUGAUCAGAGGAUGAUUUUUUUUUUCAAAGUUGUCAUUUUUGUCUGUCUUUUUUUUAUCAUGUAAAAAAGGCUUACUUUUAACAUUCACAAGUGAACAUUUUCUGGCUUUUUUAUUUAUUUAUUUAUUUGGUCAUAUUUGUAUAUGCUUUUAACAUAUGAUUUUUUUAUUCCAUGCAAUUAUGUGCUAUUUUCUUUAAAUCCUUGACAUGGUGAAUGAAUUCGGUCUUCUGAUGUAAGUUCAUUAGAUAAUUCAAGAAUGAAUCACCAAAGAUAUCAUGUUACAACCGAAAGUAGAAGGAGCCACAAAUUUGUCCAUCGACACAAUCAUCAUGCAUAGCUUGUGCAAGUGCAAGAGAUCACAGGUCACUCCAACUUUCAUGCUCGUAGAGGUAACAUGCAUAAUCAUCCUCCUAGAGGUCACUCCAACUUUCAUGCUCGUAGAGGCAACAUGCAUAAUCAUCCUCCUAAAGGUCACUCCAACUUUCAUGCUCGUAGAGGCAACAUGCAUAAUAUUCCAUCUAGAGUCUUUCUAUUAAGGAAAUAAUUAUCAAAUUAUACGCAAUUAUUGUAUGCAAUAUUGUACGAUAUUGUACCCAAUUAUAUGCAAUUAAUAGAAUCUCAUGAUUGGUGAUCCUUACCUAAUUAGAUUGUAAUUUGGAGAGAGAAACUUCCUACACUAGUAUAUAUUUCUUAUACAUGAAGUGAUGUAAAUGUACACGCAAGAGAAUAAAAACAUCUUCUCUUUUUUCCAUCUUCUUACAUACAAUUUUCUUAUAUGGUAUCAGAGUCAGAUAUGAUAAUUAUGAUAUAAAGAAUUGAAAAUGUUUUUUUAUGAUAUAAUUAUAAUAUUAAUAAAAAGUAACUUAUUUAAUAACUAUUUUUAUAUACAUAUUUUAUUACAAUUCUACUCUUUAUAUUUUUUUUUCAUCUAUAACAAUUAAUAAU
rnacentral:lncRNA from 1 species